rnacentral:rRNA from 1 species
CCUACGGGUGGCUGCAGUGGGGAAUAUUGGACAAUGGGCGCAAGCCUGAUCCAGCAAUGCCGCGUGGGUGAAGACGGCCUGCGGGUUGUAAAGCCCUUUGGGCGGGGAGGAACGGCGUCGCGCGAACAGGGCGGCGCACUGACGUUACCCGCGAAACAAGCACCGGCUAACUCCGUGCCAGCAGCCGCGGUAAUACGGACGGUGCGAGCGUUCAUCGGAAUUACUGGGCGUAAAGCGUGCGUAGGCGGUCAAAGCCCCGGGCUCAACCUGGGAACGGCGGUUGAGACGGCCGGACUGGAGUGGGCUAGAGGAUCGUGGAAUUCCGGGUGUAGCGGUGAAAUGCGUAGAGAUCCGGAGGAACACCGAUGGCGAAGGCAGCGGUCUGGGGCCACACUGACGCUGAGGCACGAAAGCGUGGGGAGCAAACAGGAUUAGAUACCCCGGUAGUC